CCUACGGGGGGCUGCAGUGGGGAAUAUUGGACAAUGGGGGCAACCCUGAUCCAGCCAUGCCGCGUGUGUGAAGAAGGCCCUCGGGUUGUAAAGCACUUUCAGUGAGGAAGAACGCCUGGUGGUUAAUACCCAUCAGGAAAGACAUCACUCACAGAAGAAGCACCGGCUAACUCCGUGCCAGCAGCCGCGGUAAUACGGAGGGUGCGAGCGUUAAUCGGAAUUACUGGGCGUAAAGCGCGCGUAGGUGGCUUGAUAGGCCGGUUGUGAAAGCCCCGGGCUCAACCUGGGAACGGCAUCCGGAACUGUCAAGCUAGAGUGCAGGAGAGGAAGGUAGAAUUCCCGGUGUAGCGGUGAAAUGCGUAGAGAUCGGGAGGAAUACCAGUGGCGAAGGCGGCCUUCUGGACUGACACUGACACUGAGGUGCGAAAGCGUGGGUAGCAAACAGGAUUAGAUACCCCAGUAGUC
rnacentral:rRNA from 1 species